rnacentral:lncRNA from 1 species
UUAUAUGAGAAAAUUUUAAAAUGUGAUAGGUCAAUGCAUGAGGACCUAUUAGUGCAUGUGGAAGAAAAAGGGGACUUGCAUGUCAAAUUCCCCUUCCCUAAUAUGUAGUGGCCGGCCAUGCUAUGGGUGGAAACAUGUUGGGAACAUGUUGGCCUAGUGAGGUAUGUAGGAUAAAAUUAUAAUAAGAAGCAUGGGGAAAUAAAGAAAUGGAAAAAGGAAAGGAUGGGUGGUAAUUGUUUCUUUCCUCCCCUUUUGCCGUGAAAGUAAGAAGGAAAAACAAAAACAAAAGUGUCCAUCUUUCUUCAUUUC